AUGCACGUGUUGGAGGACACGGUCUUGCUAGUGGAUCUGUGAAUGGCUCAUUACAUCAGCAACAAUCGUCACGGAGUAUGUGAGGAGAUCAGCCCGUCUGCCUCACAGACUGGAGGAUACCGAUCCCAACUGGCUGGUUAAUACACGGAAGCUGGCACUCUCCUCUGGAACGCCAUGUGGAGACAGCACACCUGGCAUGUUCAGCUCUUUGGCCUGGGUAUUCACAUCCUCCGGUCACAGAUCCAGGCUGCGUUGUCUCUCCUCUGUGGGGUUCCUCUCACCUAGUCUCUGGUCUUCGGAUUGGCAACUGGGUGCAGGAGAUGGUCACGUUGGGCUGUACCCAAGAUCUGUGCCCGAAAGGGCAAUGUAACCCGAUGAUUCAGACCGAACGACUGGAGUUAUGGCAAUGAGCGGGGGUGUAUGUCCACCCCAAGUGCGUCCCGGAGCGAACUUUUGACCUAUCAGCUCUCGAUUGUGGUGUAGUGGCCCACAAUGGCUUUCACGGGUAACGGAGAAUGAGGGUUUGAUACCGGAGAGGGAGCCUGAGAUAUGGCUACCACGCUAAGGCGGGCAGCAGGCGCGCAAAUUGCCCGAUGCCAGCACUGUUUGGCGAGGCAGCAACGAGUCGUGGCAGUUCUGUUGGCAAUGUGGAGACAACAGUACUCGCAAUGGAUGUGAUCUAAACUCGGCAAUGAGCAUCAACUGGAGGGCAAGUCUGGUGCCAGCAGCUGCGGUAAUUCCAGCUCCAAGAGCGUAUACUAAUGUUGUUGCUGUUAGAACGCUCGUAGUCUGACACCUGGAGUGGGGCCCUGGCCGAGGUCGUUCGGAUCAGUUUGUGGUGAUCUGGGCGGUCUUUGUCAGGAACGAUGGCAGAUCUCUGUCCUUCCCACGCCUACACCGAUGGACACAAUUGCUCCUACAACCAAGCCUCCUUAAGUGGUGGCUGGGUGAAUCCGCGGUUCGAGGUCCAUACGCCUGGAAUUUGGCCUACCGCCGGAGUGUAUGUGCUGUCCGCUGCAGUCAUUGCGAAUAACCCAAUGCGAUCCAAGCAACUGAGAACGGCUGUAUGAUUCCUCACAAGAUGUCAAUGGAUCGACCUGGAUUGAAGUGCUACAUGUCUAUUGAAUCUUUAUGCUUCCGAUGGACAAUGCGGUGCCCUUGGACUUGCUACCUGGCAGAUGCAACAGCUGUUGCUAACUCCUUUCGGUGGCAAGGCUCAUUGGAGCCGACCGGGAUUGAUGGGUACGCCCGAAGCGCUGGAUAUUGACACGCCAGAGGUGAAAUUCUUAGACCGCAGUGGGAUCCACUGUGGCAAAGGCGUUGUGCACGAUUCUGUCCGUUGAUCAAGAACGAGAGUGUGGGGAGCAAAGAUGAUCAGAUACCGUUGUAGUCCAUCUCCUGUAAGCGAUGUGAGCCCGGCGUCGAUGGUCGUGAUACCGAUCCACUUCAGUUCCACCAUCGGUUCCAUUGUCUACCCCAUCACGAGAAAUCCAAGCUUGUGGAUUCAGGGGGGAGUACUGUCGCAAGGCUGAAACUUAAAGGAAUUGACGGAUUGGCACCACCAGGCGUGGAGUAUGCGGCUUAAUUUGAUUCAACACGGGGAAUGUUACCAGGUCAAGACGUGGCUGGGAUUGACAGACUGAAAGCUCUUUCUUGAUUCUUUGGACGGUGGUGCAUGGCCGCUCCUGAUUGGUGGAGUGAUCUGUCUGGUUGAGUCCGAUAACGAGUGAGAUCUCUUCCUUUGAAUAGUCACCGGUCUCGUCACAUAUGUAGGGCAGAGAGGAUCAGGCCUAGCGCUUGUUUCUCCGAGCCUGAGAGUGCCGGGUGUCUAUUGCUUCUCUCAGGUGCCGGUGCACACUGCCAAGUGCCCGCAAGCCAGAGUCAACAGCAGGUCUGUGAUGCUCCUAGAUGUCCUGGGCCGCACGCGCACUACAAUGCUGCAGCGAAAGUGCUUACCAUGUUGUUCCAUUUGCUGAUUGGAGUCUGUCGCUUAAUAUCAAUUCAACGUGCGGAAUGUUCAUCUGCAGGUGUCCUGUCCAGAAGUGGAUAGGCAAUCCCACAGCCUGCACCGUGUCUGGGAUCGGGGCCUGCAACUAUUUGUCGUGAACGAGGAAUGCCUAGUAUACGCAAGUCAUCACCUUGCAUCGACUGCGUCCCUGCCAAUUGUACACACCGCCCGUCGUUGCUACCGAUGGUUGUUGGACAGAGACUUCAGGAGACAGUGGCUCUCAGUCGGUUCAUCAGUUCCCAGUGUGCGCGUGCCAACCCAGACCCAGUGUCUGAGGCAUGCCCGCUGUUUAGGCUGAUGUCUUGUCAUUGGAGAGCGAGAGCCACUGUCAAAUUUUGCCAAUGUCCUGCGGCUAGAGGAAGCAAAA
rnacentral:rRNA from 1 species